ACGAACGCUGGCGGCGUGCCUAACACAUGCAAGUCGAGCGGAGACAGUGAGUAGCUUGCUAUGAACUGUUUUAGCGGCGGACGGGUGAGUAACGCGUGAGCAACCUUUCCCAGACAGGGGAAUAACACACCGAAAGGUGUACUAAUACCGCAUAAGACCACGGAAUCACAUGGUUCUGAGGUAAAAGAUUUAUCGGUUUGGGGUGGGCUCGCGUCCGAUUAGGUAGUUGGUGAGGUAACGGCCCACCAAGCCGACGAUCGGUAGCCGACCUGAGAGGGUGAUCGGCCACAUUGGGACUGAGACACGGCCCAAACUCCUACGGGAGGCAGCAGUGGGGAAUAUUGGGCAAUGGGGGGAACCCUGACCCAGCAACGCCGCGUGGAGGAAGAAGGUUUUCGGAUCGUAAACUCCUGUCCUUGGAGACGAGUAGAAGACGGUAUCCAAGGAGGAAGCCCCGGCUAACUACGUGCCAGCAGCCGCGGUAAUACGUAGGGGGCAAGCGUUGUCCGGAAUAAUUGGGCGUAAAGGGCGCGUAGGCGGCUCGGUAAGUCUGGAGUGAAAGUCCUGCUUUUAAGGUGGGAAUUGCUUUGGAUACUGUCGGGCUUGAGUGCAGGAGAGGUUAGUGGAAUUCCCGGUGUAGCGGUGAAAUGCGUAGAGAUUGGGAGGAACACCAGUGGCGAAGGCGACUAACUGGACUGUAACUGACGCUGAGGCGCGAAAGUGUGGGGAGCAAACAGGAUUAGAUACCCUGGUAGUCCGCGCGGUAAACGAUGGAUGCCCGCUAUUUGCGCCUUUGCGCAAGUGGCCAAGUGAAAACGUUAAGCAUCCCACCUGGGGAGUACGCCGGCAACGGUGAAACUCAAAGGAAUUGACGGGGGCCCGCACAAGCAGCGGAGCAUGUGGUUUAAUUCGACGCAACGCGAAGAACCUUACCAGGUCUUGACAUCCACUUAAACUUACAGAGAUGUAAGGUGUGCUUGCACAAAGUGAGACAGGUGGUGCAUGGUUGUCGUCAGCUCGUGUCGUGAGAUGUUGGGUUAAGUCCCGCAACGAGCGCAACCCUUAUCUUCAGUUACUAACGCGUAAAGGUGAGGACUCUGAAGAGACUGCCGGGGACAACUCGGAGGAAGGUGGGGACGACGUCAAAUCAUCAUGCCCCUUAUGACCUGGGCUACACACGUGCUACAAUGGCCACGACAGAGAGAAGCGAAAUCGUAAGGUAGAGCGGAACUCAAAAAAGUGGUCCCAGUUCGGAUUGUGGGCUGCAACCCGCCCACAUGAAGUCGGAGUUGCUAGUAAUCGCGGAUCAGCAUGCCGCGGUGAAUACGUUCCCGGGCCUUGUACACACCGCCCGUCACACCAUGGGAGUUGGGAGUGCCCAAAGCCGGUGAGGCAACCGCAAGGAGCCAGCCGUCUAAGGCAAGACCAAUGACUGGGGUG
rnacentral:rRNA from 1 species